GAUGAACGCUGGCGGCGUGCCUAAUACAUGCAAGUCGAGCGAACAGACGAGGAGCUUGCUCCUCUGACGUUAGCGGCGGACGGGUGAGUAACACGUGGAUAACCUACCUAUAAGACUGGGAUAACUUCGGGAAACCGGAGCUAAUACCGGAUAAUAUAUUGAACCGCAUGGUUCAAUAGUGAAAGACGGUUUUGCUGUCACUUAUAGAUGGAUCCGCGCCGCAUUAGCUAGUUGGUAAGGUAACGGCUUACCAAGGCGACGAUGCGUAGCCGACCUGAGAGGGGGAUGGCCCACAUGGGAAAUGAGAAACGGCCCAAACCCCUAGGGAAGGAACAAGAAGGAAUCUUCCGCAAUGGGCGAAAGCCUGACGGAGCAACGCCGCGUGAGUGAUGAAGGUCUUCGGAUCGUAAAACUCUGUUAUUAGGGAAGAACAAAUGUGUAAGUAACUAUGCACGUCUUGACGGUACCUAAUCAGAAAGCCACGGCUAACUACGUG
rnacentral:rRNA from 1 species